GAUGAACGCUAGCGGCAGGCUUAACACAUGCAAGUCGAGGGGCAGCGUGGAGCAGCAAUGCUCUGACGGCGACCGGCGGAAGGGUGCGUAACACGUGAGCGACUUGCCCGUCACAGGGGGAUAACCGGCGGAAACGGCGACUAAUACCCCAUAUGAUGCGAUGCUGCAUGGCAUUGCAUUGAAAGAUUCAUCGGUGGCGGAUAGGCUCGCGGGACAUUAGCUAGACGGCGGGGCAACGGCCCACCGUGGCGACGAUGUCUAGGGGUUCUGAGAGGAAGGCCCCCCACACUGGGACUGAGACACGGCCCAGACUCCUACGGGAGGCAGCAGUGAGGAAUAUUGGUCAAUGGGCGGAAGCCUGAACCAGCCAUGCCGCGUGAAGGACUAAGGCCCUACGGGUCGUAAACUUCUUUAGACGCAGAGCAAUAAGGUCCACGCGUGGACCGAUGAGAGUAUGCGUAGAAUAAGCAUCGG
rnacentral:rRNA from 1 species